UGGAGAUCUGGUGAAGUUGAAGCAUUUGGAUCUACAACGAACAAGUUCUCUUAGAACAAUUCCACAAAAGGCUGUAUCAGGCCUUUUGCAAUUGAGAGUCCUGAACUUUUAUUAUAGUUAUUCANNNNNNNCACAAUUGUGAGGGUGUGAAUGAAGUUGGAAUUGCAGACUUGGAAUGCUUGAAGCACUUGACCACACUUGGAAUAACUGUGAAGGAAUUGAUGACCCUGAAGAGGCUUGAUAAUUUCGGUAGCUUAUUGAAAUGUAUACAGUAUUUGUACAUUAAAGAGUGUAAAGACUUGCUUUAUUUACAAGUAUCAUCAAAUUCCAGUUUUGGCCGAAGUUUGAGAAGGCUUAGCAUCAAUAACUGUUAUGACCUACAUUACUUGCAAGUUGAUAAAGCGGCUGGAGACAAUUGGCUUCCCA
rnacentral:misc_RNA from 1 species